ACAUAUUAAAAUUUACGAAUGUAAUUUAAUUUUCGCCAAAAUUACAAUUUAAACAUCAAAUUGUAACAAACUUUUACGCAUGACGGAUAUAGACGUCAUACACAAAAUUUUGCCACAUCUCCAUGACGGAUAUAGUCGUCAAACACGCUUAACUGAUUAAAUCUUCGAUUCUUUCCAAAAUAGUUUUUUUCCCCAAGUACAAAAAGUAUUUUAUACAUUUUUGACAUAUGUUCAUAACUACUUGUUACGAUAUAUUAUAAGUUUCUUUGAAAAAUGGUUUACUCGAGAGUAUUACUUCGUUGAUACCGCUUGAUUGAGGGUAACUUGGGACAAAAAAAGGGACAAUUACGGCAGAAACAUUGUCAAGGAUAUCGGUCAUAUUUUCUAUCCCAGUCACUCGCUCGAUCUUCCCCUUCAGACUCGAGGAAGAUGAUUCUCGUGGUAAGGUUAGGUCUUUCUUACAAGUAGAAGAGAAAAGUAGAAGAAGAAGAAGAAGAAGCGGAAGGAGGGUAGAAAAGUAAAGAAUCGGGCGGGUUGGGCCAAGCAUUGUGUCUUGAUAGAUGUGUCAAAUCCGAGGCGCAUUGUGUUCCUGGAGAUAAAUGGAGCCGGAGUGAAGAAGCAAAACACGUGCCUUUGUUACCGGUCUACUCAUCGAAGGUAAUUUAGAGCGCUUCUUCUAUUUCCAAAGAUAGCCUUAGGUACGAUACAAGUGCCACGCGUAUCUAACAUUUACCAAAACUCACAACUUUACUAUGUUGUAUGUAUUAUAUAUUUUUUUGUUCAAAAAUAUUCUAAAUCGUUAAGGAGUUUUGUACAAUUUGCAAUAAAAAAAAGGAUCAUUCCUAAGGACAAUAAAUUCUUUCGAUCAUAGUCGUUCUAAUUACCCUUCACCAUUAUCCAAUUAAUCUAGCACCAUUAAUUUCUUCCUAUCCGGAAACAUAUUUUUCAAAGAUCACCCCUCCGGGUGUCGUUCCUUGUAGACGUAGAACUUUCAAAAGACUACGCCGUUGCUCUUUGAUUAGUUUCUUUCCCCCUUGCUUAUGAAAGCAAGAGGGAAAAAAAGAAAAAGAAAAAUAAAGAAGGAGAGACAGAGUGCGAAAGGAAGAUGGGAGAAAAAAGAGGGAAAGGUCGGUAGUCGCACGUCAUUUAAGAAAGAUGCAUCGUAAUCGUCUCUCUCCUAUGCCGAGAAAGAAGAAGAAGAAGAAGAAGAAGAAGAAGAAGAAGGUAGUGAGUGUGUGGCUCGCUGAGAAACACAACUAAGGGAGAGACAGUACGGGACGCGGUCCGGGACACAAGUCCGGGACACAAGUCCGGGACACAGUCCGCCACCCUGGCGACAUGGCUGGGUGGAGAGCAGAAAGCGAGAAUUCUCCCGCGGCGCGGAGCCGCGGCACUCGCUUCGCAUAAAUCAUCCCGCUUCUGCUUGGAACAGGGAGAGGCGAAAAUAGAUGGAGCUCUCUGCGCUUUAUACAUAAAGAGAGAGAGAGAGAGAGAGAAAACAUAUCUCUCUUGCCUUCGUGCCCGUGGCUACAAGCAAGGGCCGUAUUUCUUCUUUUUCUUCUUCUUAUCCUCCAGCCUUCGUUUUAUCUUGUUUCUUUUCUUUUUCUAGUCGACCUCGUCGUCGGCGACAUCGAUGGCAUCGUCCUCCUUCCUUCCUUCCUUCCUUUACUACCUUUCCUACCUUAAGAAUAAAGACCUCCCACAUAUUUUCGUGACUUCCUUGAACACAGGUAUGAGCAAACCCACGCCAUAGGAUACUACUCUCGCUGUAAGCGCGAAAGGCCCGAGCUCAACUCCUUUCUAGAAUCUUAAGAAUCCAAGCACUCGUUCGGUGCUUACACACUGCCAACGCAUAACUCCCGGACAAUGUUCUCAGGAAGCUGACGCGAACUCGACGCACGAACCACCACACAGCCUUCCGGCAUAUGCCGCUCGCGGAAGUGCACUUUCUUUAACAAGCUCGUUUUCGCGCGCGCGCGCCGACAAUCUUUAUUUCUUUUUUUUUGUCCAAGACCCUGGAGAACUCGUGUUUCGUGCUUGUAAUGCCGCUGUCGAUUGGGAGAGAUAUCAUCGACCUGACCCGUUUGCUGCUUCCCGUCUUGAACACGUUCUUACAAGAAUGUUACUUUCGUCAGGUUUAACAUCAACGUGGAUGAUUAAGAGCUUCGCUUCUUUUUUUCCUGUUUCUUUUUUUUUAAAUUUCCCCGAAAGAAAUAUUUGUCGGAUGUUAAUGGUACGAAAGAAAUGUCUCCAUGUGAUUUAUCUCUUUCAUUCAAAGAAACAAAUAUAUGCCUUUCGACCGUUCGAGAAUGUUUGUUUCUCUUCAAAAAUAUCGUCCUAAAAUAAUAUGUAGACAUAUCGUUUUCUUCAAAUUGGAAAGGUUCGGACUAGUUCUCGUAAUGCAAAUAAAGGACAAUUUUUUCUACUUUUCCCUUUUUGUAUGCGAAGAAAGCAAAUCUCUAAAAUUCCUAAUCCAUAUAUUUGGAGUCUACAAAAGAAAAUUGGAUAAGACGAUGCUUAAGCAUAAAAAAUAUCAAAAGAAAGGGGCGUUUCUCAUUUGUUUGCUCCAUUUUCACCGUCGAAUAUCGGAUGAAUAACUUUGAUUCAAAGAAAAAACCGAAAAGUCAAAAAAAUCAAUUGGUACCCCCUGCCUGUUUUAAAACCAUGAAUCUCGUCUUGAAAAAAGAACUUUUUGUAGCAUUAUUUAUUUCUGUCAUACGGUAGUAACCGAUACUAAGAGAGAACCUGCUGCUGCUACUGCCGCCAUUGACGUCCUGUGACGACAACUGCGACAACUAAGACGACGAACAGACCGAGAACUAAGCUUUCCAGGGGAUCCCAUGAAGCAUCACGCUGAGCAAAGCGUGGUGCUCCAUAAAUCUUCUCCGUGUUUUUACGUAUCUGACCCCGUGCGACUGUUCCAUUAUUAGAUGCAGCUUUCAAGCUUACUCCGCAAGAAUUUCACGAAACCACACGUUGAACCAGCAAAGCAACUCCCUCCUCUCCGACCAUACUUUGACAUAUAUUGACCAACCAUAUGUCCCUCUCGUAUUCCACUUCUUUUCAUCUCGAUCGAAUCGAAUUUAUCAUCUAGGAUCAGAAAGAGAUAGAGCAACUUCCAAUUCUCCAUUCCUACCUUCUAUUUUGAUCUAUUCUUUGCCAUUUCUGCUUAAAAUCCAGUCACGAGAGAGGCGAGUGGUUAGUUUUCAGAAGAUUGGACAAACCGUUCCAAAUCUAUACGGUCAUACUGGCUUGGAAAGAAAGCGAUAUUUAUGUUUUCCAGAUCGUAAAUCACGUCGAACUACCCCAAUAGAUGUGGAUUUUCUAAAUGAUUACAUUUUUCAGUGAAUCUAUCGCUAAUAGAUUUAGAUCUAUACGUCAUCUAAAUGGUUCCUACUAACCAUUCUUUUGAACAAUGAUCUGUCAAGAAAAACUUAAAUUUAUGACGUGUCCAAAAAUUACAAUUAGAAUAAUAUGAAAGAAUGAUCGUAGGAACUAUGAUAUGCUAUACAAUUAUAUUAUAUUUUUAUAAAAAAAAAGAAAGAAAAGAAAAUAUAUAAGAGAGAAAAUGUUUGAGGAUAUAGUCGGGUACGCAACUGUGUUUCGUGCGGCUCUUAAACACGAAGCAGCGGCAGCAGCAACGGCAGCAAAUCAUUGUCGGGGUCAGAAACGAGCUGCGUGAAAAAUUGGCUGUGCUUCCAGAGAAAACCAAUAACGCCCCGCCACAUCAAACGCGGAUUCCGGGAAAUCAUUACCCGGUCUACGCCCAAGGCUUACACACAUACGGCGCGGCGUAGCGUUUAAACGCUGCUGGCUGCCUGUGGCUGGAGUAAGUCGAGCUUGGAAGUUGGCGCUGCGAUCAGCAAGUAGAGUUGGUGGUGGUGAUGGUGGUGGUGGUGGUGCGUUCGGUGCCAACGUGGCAUUGUCGCGCGGUGCUGGCGCAGCAGCAGCUUUUUCGCGGCUCGGUCUCUCCUCGGUGGCGCUGCUAUCGUAGUAGUUCUACCCCCUCCCUCUCGGUGCCCCCGCGACGUGAGUAACGUCCCGAGUAAUAUUACGAUGACAGUAAUUGCUGCUUUGAUCAAUGCAGAUACAGCCGCGCGUAGGCAGCCCUGUCACGCCACUGGGAUUCAACGCGAUCCUUUCCGGCGUCGUCGCGUUGCGGAUAGUCGCCGUAGGCGGAUGUAUUGCCUACGUGCCUACGACUCUCUUACGCGGAUUCCUCUUUACGUGUCUCUAUGUAUGUAUAUGUGUACUACGUCGAGAAAUAAUCGAGCUUGCUUCCUGCGUAACGGAUUUAGCUUCGAAGACGACAACACGAACGCGUUAACGACGAUGCCACGAUCCAUCACCUGUCGCGCCACUUUCAACUUUUUCCUCAAAGUCGGCCAUCUUUGACUUCCAGUACAUGCUCGAUUACUAGGUGUCUCGAGAAACUCCUCUCCCUAACUGUUUGGCUCUCGACGACGACGACUUCGUUAGGAAGAUUCAAUAGCUAAUCUCUUAAGAAAGAGAUCAAGGAUGAUGAUUUUAUUGCGAUCCUCACCUUUCUUCAUCUCCCCCUCGUCCCUUUCCUUCCCAUCCCUAGCGCGGAAAAGAGAUAUCCGACGCAUCGUUUCAUCGCCAAAUUAUCUUGGCAACCUACUGCUACGUAGGAUCUCGAGCUCACAGCGUUAUAAUAUUAUAGUUAUACAUUCCAGACACAUUUCGCUCGUAAAGUUCGUUAAAACGACGGCUGCUACGCUAGAGAAUCGCAUAAAGUACGUUUCAAACGGAAGACAGGGGCGACCCGACGCUCGACAUAAAUAUCGAACAAUCGUAAAGUCGAGGUGUCAUGCCAAAGAGAGAGAGAGAGAGAGAGAGAGAGAGAGAGAGAGAGAGACAAAACUAGCAUUGGAUGAGAACCCUCGGACUUCUAUUAACGAUCACCGAUCGACGAACUCCACCAGACAGAUCUACGUAAAAAAAAAAGAUAGAAAAAGAAAAAACCAGUACGUGUGCAUGCGUGCGUGUGCGUGCACUCUAUGAGAAUCGUCCUAGCAGGAGUCCAAGAACCAUCUUUUACCCCUCCUCCUUUUUUCCUUCUUCUUCUUCUUCUUCUUCUUCUGAAACCCCUCCCUCCUUCCCACCCCUCUUUUUUCCAUCCCUCACUCUCUCUCUCUCUCUCACUUCUCUUACGGAGACUUUUAUUUGUGGUGGAAUAAAUAAAAAUUUACGAGCAAUUUACGGAGGGUCCUCCGUCAGGUCAGGGGGAUCCAUCAAUUUACUCCGAAGUGCUCGUUUGGCGCGCGGGCUACAAAAUCGUCGACGAAGUUCUCUUUAUGAAGCUAGAAUAGAUUAAUGCUCUCGUUUGUUCGGUAAUGGCCCCGAUAAAUUAUCUUAAUAGCUCGAGGCGGCUAUAAAUAUAUUCCACGGUUCCUGCGCUCUUACGCUUGUUUUCCUGCUACAUCGACUUCUCUCUGCGCGCCAUCGAACUGCCAUGUUUUCCGUGUCACUGAUACCAUGAGGCAACCAACGGUGGGAAGGGCAGGGAACGGGGGGAACGAAAGACCGACGAGAGGAUAAGAAAUGGAACGGGGAAUGAAAAUAAAAAAAGAAAGAAAAGAAGAGCAAAAUAAAAUAUAAUGGAAGUAUAAGAACGAUGCGACUCGAUGCAACAUCCUAGCGGCUUUCGUGUAAACCCACGUUGCUCGCUAAUGUUCGAUAUUAUUCAAAUUUUCUUGAGCGACCUAUGGUGGUGACGUGUGGCGGUGGUGGUGGUGUUGGUGGUGUUUCCUAGAGUAACGGAUCGUUUUAAUCUAAACUCGGUGAUCUUUCUCUAGGAAAUUUAUUACUUUAGGAACGUAGUACUACGCUUUAUUGCAUGUACUGCACGCACACGCGUUUACCAAUAUCUAAGUGAACCUCUCCCUUGCAAAUACACUUUUUUUUUUAAUCGACACACCUUUCCAAUUUUACGUAUCUUCUCACCUGUCUGAAGAAAAAAAACUCUUACUUAUAGGAAAUAUACACGAGAGAGUGUAAAAAUAUCUCAAUAACGUGACACGGAGGCUGCAUAAAUUCGAUGGAAUAUUCCCAUUAUUGCAUCGGAAUGUAGACAUUAAGAGGAUUUUAAAAAAGAAGGAGAAACCGAGAUGAAGACGAGCAAAAGAGGAAAGAAGAACUGUGAGUGCACUUGAACGAAGGGAUAGCAGCCAAUAACGACAACAGCGUUAAGAAGAAGAAGAAAAAGAAUACAACGACAGAAACGCAAAAAGUUACAUGUGUUAGCCAGCACACCCUGACUAACAGUGCAAGAUGGCUUAUUCCAAUGAGAAUAUAUGAAACAACUCGAAGGGAAACAAGCAAUACUCACAACAACCAUUCGCCGACUACACUAUAAAAUACGCCAUAAAAGGAAAGAAGAGAAGAGAAGAACCGGACAAAGAUGAAAAGACGAAUCUGAAAGGUCUAACGCAAUGUACCUGUCCGAAAUAAACUAAUCGAAAAUUUUCAAAUAUUUUCCUUUUUAAUAAGCUUCAUUUAUUAGAAAUAUUUUUAGCCGACAUUACUACGUUGACAACUUCUCAAUUUCUUUU
rnacentral:lncRNA from 1 species